rnacentral:rRNA from 1 species
GACGAACGCUGGCGGCGUGCCUAAUACAUGCCAGUUGAGCGCUGAAGGUUGGUACUUGUACCAACUGGAUGAGCAGCGAACGGGUGAGUAACGCGUGGGGAAUCUGCCUUUGAGCGGGGGACAACAUUUGGAAACGAAUGCUAAUACCGCAUAAAAACUUUAAACACAAGUUUUAAGUUUGAAAGAUGCAAUUGCAUCACUCAAAGAUGAUCCCGCGUUGUAUUAGCUAGUUGGUGAGGUAAAGGCUCACCAAGGCGAUGAUACAUAGCCGACCUGAGAGGGUGAUCGGCCACAUUGGGGCUGAGACACGGCCCAAACUCCUACGGGAGGCAGCAGUAGGGAAUCUUCGGCAAUGGACGAAAGUCUGACCGAGCAACGCCGCGUGAGUGAAGAAGGGUUUCGGAUCGUAAAACUCUGUUGGUAGAGAAGAACGUUGGUGAGAGUGGAAAGCUCAUCAAGUGACGGUAACUACCCAGAAAGGGACGGCUAACUACGUG